UACGAAGGGGGCUAGCGUUGCUCGGAAUCACUGGGCGUAAAGCGCACGUAGGCGGCUUCUUAAGUCAGGGGUGAAAUCCUGGAGCUCAACUCCAGAACUGCCUUCGAUACUGGCGAUCUUGAGUCCGGAAGAGGUGAGUGGAACUCCUAGUGUAGAGGUGGAAUUCGUAGAUAUUAGGAAGAACACCAGUGGCGAAGGCGGCUCACUGGUCCGGUACUGACGCUGAGGUGCGAAAGCGUGGGGAGCAAACAGG
rnacentral:rRNA from 1 species